rnacentral:rRNA from 1 species
UACGGAGGAUGCGAGCGUUUAUCCGGAAUCAUUGGGUUUAAAGGGUGCGUAGGCUGGUAUUUAAGUCAGUGGUGAAAUUUCGUGCUUAACAUGAGAGCUGCCAUUGAUACUGGAUACCUUGAGUGUAUUUGAUGUGGGCGGAAUGUGGUUGUGUAGCGGUGAAAUGCAUAGAUAUGACACAGAACACCGAUAGCGAAGGCAGCUCACAAAUUACAACUGACGCUGAAUGCACGAAAGCGUGGGAUCGAAA